GGAUAUGUAGCUCAUUCGGUAGAGCAACUGACUUCAAUCAGUGUGUAAUUGGUUCGAUUCCAAUCACAUCCACCA
rnacentral:tRNA from 1 species